GAUGGCCACCUCCUGGUGGUAAGUCUCGCUCCUGGAGUUCCCAUCUUGGCCCUACAGCGGGACAUUUUGCCGCCACCUCUUUGUGUGUUGGGAAGAUGACGUCCUUUCUGCUCGUCCUGCUUCUCUGAUUGAUCUGUGUCUCUGGAGAUCCCUUUGCUUAGCCGUCAGAUCAAGCAGGCACCCAUGGUUCAUAAUGCAGGUGAUGACCUGGGCAAGAGGUCACCAGUAAGGAGCAAAGGGACCUGCCUGCCACUCUUAAGUAGAGCACCUGCUGAAUCAGGAUUUCCAAGGCUCUGGCUGAGUGCCUGGCUGGGGCUGUGUGUGCAGAUGCCACAAGAUGGACAAGACUGAGGAUGCAGAUGAGGAAACUGAAGCAACUGUUCAAGAAGAGGAUAUCAAAAGGGACAGGCAUUGAUGAUGAUAUCAGAGCUUCUUCCUGGGGAAUCUCAGCCUCACAUGAUGGAGUAUGACAAAAGGAAAAAAAUAAGGCUCUCCACGUACUUUCUUGGCAGUCUAUGAGGGUCAGGGUUGAUUUUGUGUCCCUAAAAUGUUGCAUGAAGUUCAUAGGCACUUCCAAAGGGGCAGUCUAGCAAGUAAAAGAGAUGUGGAGCUGUGGAAUCUAUUGUUUGAGUAAUCUUUUUCAAACAGUAGGAAUAUACCAGCUGGUAAAGAUUUGCCCACUUAGCUUCAAGUCUCUCUGAACACAUUUCCCCCCACUCUAUGAAUAGAUGAAGACAUACAAAUGGAACUCUUUUGAUAUUCUUAAGUGAAAAACAUGAUAUGGAAUAGCAGAUAAAUACAAACAAUUUCUUAUCAAGCAAAGAGCUCCAGAAAUAUUUUGACUUCAUUUAAAACAGUUAUAUAAAUAUUUUCUGGUGGAAUUUUUUUCUAAGCCAAAUACCCUGAAGGAUUUUAGUUGUCUAUCUACAACUUUUUGCUUGUGGAAAAUGUUGACUUCCUGGUUACUUUGACUUGUUGUGUUCACCUGAAAGUUUGCUUUUG
rnacentral:lncRNA from 1 species